rnacentral:rRNA from 1 species
UUGAUUAUGACGUACUUGUACUGAUUGAGAUUUUAACACGAAGUGAGUGGCGAACGGGUGAGUAACACGUGGGUAACCUGCCCAGAAGUAGGGGAUAACACCUGGAAACAGAUGCUAAUACCGUAUAACAGAGAAAACCGCAUGGUUUUCUUUUAAAAGAUGGCUCUGCUAUCACUUCUGGAUGGACCCGCGGCGUAUUAGCUAGUUGGUGAGGUAAAGGCUCACCAAGGCAGUGAUACGUAGCCGACCUGAGAGGGUAAUCGGCCACAUUGGGACUGAGACACGGCCCAGACUCCUACGGGAGGCAGCAGUAGGGAAUCUUCCACAAUGGACGCAAGUCUGAUGGAGCAACGCCGCGUGAGUGAAGAAGGGUUUCGGCUCGUAAAGCUCUGUUGUUAAAGAAGAACGUGGGUAAGAGUAACUGUUUACCCAGUGACGGUAUUUAACCAGAAAGCCACGGCUAACUACGUGCCAGCAGCCGCGGUAAUACGUAGGUGGCAAGCGUUAUCCGGAUUUAUUGGGCGUAAAGCGAGCGCAGGCGGUCUUUUAAGUCUAAUGUGAAAGCCUUCGGCUCAACCGAAGAAGUGCAUUGGAAACUGGGAGACUUGAGUGCAGAAGAGGACAGUGGAACUCCAUGGGUUAG